AUGCCAUUGCAUGGUACUCCAUGGGAGGAUGUAUCUUUGGAUUUCGUCUUGGGUUUGCUAAGAACAAGACAUGGGAGUGAUGUUGUGUUUGUGGUCCUGGACAGAUUCUCUAAAACGGCUCAUUUCGUUUCAUGCCGCAAGACAACGGAUGCUCAUCAUGUGGCAAACCUAUUCUUUCAAGAAGUGGUCAGACUUCAUGGCCUUCCAAGGUCCAUCGACUCAGAACAUGAUAGCAAGUUUCUUGCUGGAUUUUGGCUUACUUUGUGCAAGCAAUUCAACACUGAAUUAAAAAAUUCUAGCACUGCCGAUCUACAAACAGAUGGACAAACGAAAGUAGUGAACAAAUUUUUGGGUAAUCUGGUCCGUUGCAUUUGUGGUGAAAGAAAGGUACAAUGGGAUUUGGUUUUAUCUCUUGCAGAGUUCUCCUACAAUAACUCCAAGCAUAGAUCCACAGGAAGUAGUCCUUUUUCCAUUGUCUACACUAAAGGUCCAACACAUGUGGUGGACCUGGUGAAGCUACCAUCAAGGGGAAACUCAAAAUCAGCAUUGUCCUUUGCUGAUAAUUACACUGUUAUUGAAGAAAUUCGUGGUAUUCUGGAUGCACAAAAUCAGAAAUAUAAACAACUUGCUGACAUCAAAAGAAGGAUGAAAUCAUUCCAAGUUGGUGAUAAGGUGAUGGUCUACCUCUGA
rnacentral:rRNA from 1 species